rnacentral:tRNA from 1 species
AAAUUUGAAUAGCUUAAAAUUUAGAGUAUUAUAUUGAAGAUAUAAGGGUAAUAUUUAUUAUUUUUAAAUA